rnacentral:rRNA from 1 species
UACGGAGGGUGCAAGCGUUAUCCGGAUUCACUGGGUUUAAAGGGUGCGUAGGCGGAUAUGUAAGUCCGUGGUGAAAUCCUGCAGCUUAACUGCAGAACUGCCAUGGAUACUAUUUAUCUUGAAUGCCGUGGAGGUUAGCGGAAUAUGUCAUGUAGCGGUGAAAUGCUUAGAUAUGACAUAGAACACCUAUUGCGAAGGCAGCUAACUACGCGGUGAUUGACGCUGAGGCACGAAAGCGUGGGGAUCAAAC